rnacentral:rRNA from 1 species
UACGGGGGGGGUAAGCGUUGUUCGGAAUUACUGGGCGUAAAGGGCUCGUAGGCGGCCAACUAAGUCAGACGUGAAAUCCCUCAGCUUAACUGGGGAACUGCGUCUGAUACUGGAUGGCUUGGAUUCGGGAGAGGAAUGCGGAAUUCCAGGUGUAGCGGUGAAAUGCGUAGAGAUGCGGCGGAACACCGAUGGCGAAGGCAGCCCCCUGGGCUGAGAUUGACGCUCAGGCACGAAAGCGUGGGGAGCAAACAGG